rnacentral:rRNA from 1 species
UACGUAGGGGGCAAGCGUUGUCCGGAUUUAUUGGGCGUAAAGAGCGUGUAGGCGGCCAGAUAGGUCUGCUGUGAAAACUCGAGGCUCAACCUCGAGCUGUCGGCGGAAACCAUUUGGCUAGAGUCCGGAAGAGGAGAGUGGAAUUCCUGGUGUAGCGGUGAAAUGCGCAGAUAUCAGGAAGAACACCUAUGGCGAAGGCAGCUCUCUGGGACGGUACUGACGCUGAGACGCGAAAGCGUGGGGAGCGAACAGG